UACGAAGGGGGCGAGCGUUGUUCGGAUUUACUGGGCGGAAAGGGCGCGCAGGCGGCUUAUUUUGUCAGGCGUGAAAGCCCCGGGCUUAACCUGGGAACUGCGUUUGAUACGGAUGGGCUAGAGUUCGGGAGAGGAGAGUGGAAUUCCCAGUGUAGAGGUGAAAUUCGUAGAUAUUGGGAAGAACACCGGUGGCGAAGGCGGCUCUCUGGACCGAGACUGACGCUGAGGCGCGAAAGCGUGGGGAGCGAACAGG
rnacentral:rRNA from 1 species